ACGAACGCUGGCGGCGUGGUUAAGACAUGCAAGUCGAACGGAUCAGUAAUUUAUUAUUGGUCAGUGGCGAAAGGGUGAGUAAUGGAUAGGUAACGUACCCCGGGUUCUGGGAUAGCCAGCCGAAAGGUUGGGUAAUACCGGAUAACAUCACCGGCCGACGGGUCGGUGAUCAAAGAUUUAUCGACACGGGAGCGGCCUAUCUCCUAUCAGCUUGUUGGUGAGGUAACGGCCCACCAAGGCGAUGACGGGUAGCGGGACUGAGAGGUUGGCCCGCCACAUCGGGACUGAGACACUGCCCGGACCCCCACGGGGGGCUGCAGUAACGAAUCUUGGGCAAUGGGCGAAAGCCUGACCCAGCGACGCCGCGUGCGGGAGGAAGUCCUUCGGGAUGUAAACCGCUGUCAGACAAAGGAAAGUCCACUUCGGUGGAUUGAUCCGAGUCAGAGGAAGUCACGGCUAACUCUGU
rnacentral:rRNA from 1 species